GCAUGCGCAUCGCGGCCAGCCAGGCCCGGCGCGGCCGCCGGUGGGCCGUCGCCAGCCCCCAGUGCCCACGGGGCGAUCUGGCCGCAAAGGGAGGCCCCCGCAGGGCGGCGGGAGGCAGUGCAGUUGCCGAUACUGUCCAGCAGGAGAGCUUCUUUAGAGAAGACAGUUGCCUCCUGAAAAGGUUCCAAAUGAAAGUUAAUGGUUAGGUAUUGUAAUUGGACUAAAUCAGGCAACAGUUAAAUAACACAGUAUGCAUUGUUGCAACUAGAACAAAAAUGCUGCUCCAUUGGAUUGGAAUUGUACCCUGCUAACAUACCCAUCCACCCUCAGACAGGCGAUGGCAAGCUCAGCGCAGGCACGGACACAUGACAGCACUGCAGAAAGGCAUAGUCUCCCCCCUUAAGAACCCCCUGUUGCUCUCCAGCUACACCAAGACUUGCUCAAGGAAAGCAAAUAAACCAUCAUUUGCUUAUGUCACCUGGCUAGGAGAUGAAAGCCUUGUCAUUUAUGUAGCUUCUUGGAAGGCUAUACUGCUAUAAUUCCAGCUAGAAAGAUCGGUACCUCAUAAAACUAAUGUUUUUCAGUUUUCCUGCCAUUUUUGCUUAUAGAGUCGAAGAGUCUUUCAAAGCUAAAUUACACCUAGGGUACCACAGUGCUGUUAAGUAAGUGCUAUCCUGUUCCACUUCUAUUGAUGCAAACAAAGGCAUGGAGAUUUUUUGUGAAUUUGUGAAGGUAAAUCUGGGGCUUGCUUUUCUACUCAAAUUAUAUCGAACCUGUCAUCAGUAGGAACAUUGAUUCCAAAAUCAGUGCUGUAAAGGGCUCUUACGCAGCACUUGGUAGUUAUGAAAAUGCAGUACACUGAGGAGGCUAUACCUCUCAUUAUUAGGAAUAUCCUAAGCAUAAGUAAAUACCUUCAGUAUUGUAUAACACACAAAUAUAUCCCCAUAUAUACCUACAUGUUUUGCUGAAAUUAUUUGAAUUAAGAGAUUUAGAGCAGCAGAUCAUUGCUAUAAAAUGCUUUGCAUAAUGAAACCACAUGUGCAGUAUACUUUCAGGUCUUUAAUUUGUUAGGAGCUAAAUGUUUAUUAGAAUAUGGUACAGUUAACGUUCCCUACAGUCACCUUGAAAAUGAAAUACCCCUUUCACAACACAAAGGUAACGAGUUAUAUGGCAAGAUAAAGUGGUUACCAGAAUUCAAGAAUGACAGAAUCCAAUUAAUCUAACAUGAAUUAAUGCAAGAUCAAAUUUAUUACAGUUGGAUGCAAUUUGUAAUUGAAAGUUCCAUUACAGUGCAUGUUUUUACAUGUUAUCUCCCAUCAGUAAGAGAUCUCCAAAGAGCAGAUUCUCAAUUUUGAACAGCAGCAAUGUAUUUAUUAUAUCACAGAUAACCCUUUCCUUAUGGAAAUGGUUCCUGAAGUUCCUUGCAACAAACAACAGCCCAGUUGUGCACCAGGGGCUGUGCUCUCCCUCUUUCUCACAGGGGCCAUGACUAAGGCUUAAACAGGAACCUGGGCUUCAUUUUUGGCUGCUUUGCUGGGCUACCCCUGCCUUGUUACUUGUUCAUCCCUUUUCCCAUUUUUCACUCUUCUAGGGAAUCACCCCUCUUUUUUGGGGGGGGCGGGAGAGAGGUGUGAAUCAAGCCCUCUAGACAAAUAAACCUUUCAACCUCCUAUCUUCAAAAUAAACACUUUUAUUGUAGACAGUCCAAGCUCCUUAGGUAAAGCUUUAGGUCUCAAAUCCAAAAGAUACACUGUGUCCUUUUAAUAAUUUCAUAGUGGAAACCCUUUAUUUGCCCAUUCCUGUGGUGUUAUGGAGGUUUUCAAUGAUUCUGGUUUAGGUUUCGGGAUUAGGUGAAACCAGAGCACCUUAAACCUCUUUAGAGGUUUGGGAUUAGGUCUGCAUCAGGCCUAAUAUAGCCUUUCUGUGCAAGGCUAAAUUAAAUGGCAGGAAUAUUUGUUGUACACUGAUUCACAGGUGUUUGGCAAAAUACCAGAAAACAUAAAGGAACCACUGGAAGAAUCAUGAAGGCAAAACCAUCGAAACAUGAGUAUUAGCUAAGUACUGCAGUAUCACUUGCAACUGUGGGGUCUUUCAGACUGCUUCUAAGUGAUUUUAAGCAUGGAUAUAAUUUUUAUGUGUCUCUUUUGCAUGAAUGUGAGUAAAUUGAAGAUCUGUCGUGCAAAUGGAUCAUGGAUUUUUAUUUGGGUAUCACAUUCUCGUAGUUGCUGCCUGUUUUAUAGCAAAUGUAUAUUAAAGUUCAUCAAACAGCUGA